GUUUAAUCAUGUUCCAUCUCUUAUUCCAAUGCCUAUAAUUUUAUCUUAUACGGGAAGAAAAAAACAUUAAUGAAGUGAUGAUGAACACCCUAAUAGUUAGCAAGCACUAUUUUAAUGGCAGUCAUUGUGUAUAAUAGAGGGUGUUGUUGGAAAGCUGCUGACUGUGAACAACAUUUAAUUAGAAAUGUAGCCCUGGAGCAGGAGGUGAACCUGUGCUCUUAAUUGCCUCUGUUGGUGGCUAUACCCUAGAGCACAUUAGGGCUGGGGGUUUCUGGGGCAGCUGGGGCAUGGUGAGAACCUGUGGGUGAGAGGCUCUGCUGCUUUGGGCCAAGCUAAUCCUCCAGCUGAAGCCUGUUGAGCCAAGGAACCCAGCCAGCCUCACUCGUUUGGUGUGAUCUCUGGCUGCUUGAAUGCUGUUCACCCAGUUACACUUCUCUGGUACUAUGAUCAGACACCAGGAGCAGCACACACACAUGAGUUCAGAAGUUCCUGCACAAGCAAGGUCAGAAUGAUGGACGCCUUUGAAAACAGGAUCAGUAAACAGCCUAUUGCUGACUGCAGACAUGAUGUUUAUGAUAUGAAAGAGAGAUGUGCCAACAUUGAGAUAAUGUUGUUUUGGGAAUUGCCUCUUCUCAUUUCCUCAGCUUGUGCCAACCUCAGGUUCAGCAGCCAGUGCUCACUCUCCUGCCCUCCCACACCUCUGAUUGCAAAGACCUUCGAGUUAUUCUGUACUUUGGCAGAUUUUUCUCUGAAAGCUCGCAGGCAAGUCUCUCCAUGCAAGUGCCCUAAUUUGAGGUUAUCUAAUUCUGAGUGGUCUCAAUAACUCUGGGAGCAUGCUUUAAGUAGUUUUUCUUCCAAUUACAAAAUUGAAAGUAAUCCAGCUUUUUU
rnacentral:lncRNA from 1 species